rnacentral:rRNA from 1 species
UAUCUCUGUAGAGUCUGCAUAUCAAUAAGCGGAGGAAAAGAAACUAACAAGGAUUCCCUUAGUAACGGCGAGUGAAGCGGGAAGAGCUCAAAUCUGAAAUCUUCAAGGUUCUACCUUGACGAAUUGUAGUUUAAAGAAGUGUUUUCUGUUAGUGGAGUGGCAAAAGUUCUCUGGAAUAGGACAUCAUAGAGGGUGAGAAUCCCGUAUUUGGUUAUUCAUUCUAGCUUUGUGAUACACUUUCAAAGAGUCGGAUUGUUUGGGAAUGCAGUCCAAAAUGGGUGGUAAAUUUCAUCUAGAGCUAAAUAUUGGCGAGAGACCGAUAGCGAACAAGUACCGUGAGGGAAAGAUGAAAAGAACUUUGAAAAGAGAGUUAAACAGUACGUGAAAUUGUCAGAAGGGAAGCGUUUGACACCAGUGUUGUUUUUCCGAAAAUCAAUUACGAAUGGCUUGAUUCUGUGUUGUAUUGACCUUAUCAGCUUUCUUCACUUUUUUCGAGUCUUUCUUAAUGCACUUUUCGGUUAACAAGUCAACAUCAAUUUCUUUUGUUGUAAAAGAGUAUUCGGAAGGUGGCUUUCUUUUCGGAGAAAGUGUUUAUAGCCCUAUACUUCUACAAUCGGAGAGAUUGAGGUCUGCAGCGUAGAUCCUUCGGGGUUAGAUACACUUGUGCUAAGUUGUAGCUUUUCAUAGACAACUUGUUGACUAUGUUUAGUCAUGCGGCUUACUCGCUUGUGCUAUUUUACCUACGCUUAGGAUGUUGAAGAUGUAGCACAUCAU